UGGGGAAUUUUGGACAAUGGGCGAAAGCCUGAUCCAGCAAUGCCGCGUGUGUGAAGAAGGCCUUCGGGUUGUAAAGCACUUUUGUCCGGAAAGAAAUCCUUGGCUCUAAUACAGUCGGGGGAUGACGGUACCGGAAGAAUAAGCACCGGCUAACUACGUGCCAGCAGCCGCGGUAAUACGUAGGGUGCAAGCGUUAAUCGGAAUUACUGGGCGUAAAGCGUGCGCAGGCGGUUUGCUAAGACCGAUGUGAAAUCCCCGGGCUCAACCUGGGAACUGCAUUGGUGACUGGCAGGCUAGAGUAUGGCAGAGGGGGGUAGAAUUCCACGUGUAGCAGUGAAAUGCGUAGAGAUGUGGAGGAAUACCGAUGGCGAAGGCAGCCCCCUGGGCCAAUACUGACGCUCAUGCACGAAAGCGUGGGGAGCAAAACAGGAUUAGAUACCCUGGUAGUCCACGCCCUAAAACGAUGUCAACUAGUUGUUGGGGAUUCAUUUCCUUAGUAACGUAGCUAACGCGUGAAGUUGACCGCCUGGGGAGUACGGUCGCAAGAUUAAAACUUAAAGGAAUUGACGGGGUCAUA
rnacentral:rRNA from 1 species